rnacentral:rRNA from 1 species
AUUGAACGCUGGCGGCAGGCCUAACACAUGCAAGUCGAGCGGAGCGGCUGACGGGUGAGUAAUGCCUAGGAAUCUGCCUGGUAGUGGGGGAUAACGUCCGGAAACGGGCGCUAAUACCGCAUACCAUCAGAUUUGCCAAGAUGGGAGUAGCUAGUAGGGGGGGUAAUGGCGCACCUAGGCGACGAUCCCUAGCUGGUCUGAGAGGAUGACCAGCGACACUGGAACUGAGACAAGGUCCAGACUCCUACGGGAGGCAGCAGUGGGGAAUAUUGCACAAUGGGCGCAAGCCUGAUGCAGCCAGGCCGCGUGUGUGAAGAAGGCCUUCGGGUUGUAAAGCACUUUCAGCGAGGAGGCGUUACUCGCAGAAGAAGCACCGGCUAACUCCGUGCCAGCAGCCGCGGUAAUAC